AGCUUUCUGAAUCCAUGUGGAGACUUCGUCAGACACCAACCCAAGGGCUGACAAGACUUCUAAGAUAAAUGAAGUU
rfam:Schistosoma haematobium scaffold22_3, whole genome shotgun sequence.